rnacentral:rRNA from 1 species
AACGAACGCUGGCGGCGUGCCUAAUACAUGCAAGUCGAACGAGAAAGCGUAGCAAUACGUUAGUAAAGUGGCAGACGGGUGAGUAAUACAUAGGUAAUCUACCUUCGAGAUGGGGAUAACCUUCCGAAAGGAGGGCUAAUACCGAAUGAGACCACAGAGAUUAAUUUCUCAGGGGUUAAAGGUGACCUCUAUUUAUAAGUUAUCGCUUGAAGAUGAGCUUAUGCACCANCAGCUAGUUGGUAGGUAAUGGCCUACCAAGGCUUUGACGGUUAGCUGAUCUGAGAGGUUGAUCAGCCACACUGGAACUGAGACACGGUCCAGACUCC